CACGUAGGGGCCAAGCGUUGUCCGGAUUUAUUGGACGUAAAGAGCUCGUAGGCGGUUGGGUAAGUCGGGUGUGAAAACUCUGGGCUCAACUCAGAGACGCCACCCGAUACUGCUCUGACUUGAGUCCGGUAGGGGAGUGGGGAAUUCCUGGUGUAGCGGUGAAAUGCGUAGAUAUCUGGAAGAACACCAAUGGCGAAGGCAGCUCUCUGGGACGGUACUGACGCUGAGACGCGAAAGCGUGGGGAGCGAACAGG
rnacentral:rRNA from 1 species